rnacentral:misc_RNA from 1 species
GUGAAUCAUCAAAUUUUUGAACGCAAAUUGCACUCUCUUCGGAGAGUAUGCCUGUUUGAGGGUCAGCCUAAAAAAAAAUUGACAUAGUCGCUGUUUCGCGGUGAUAUUCGUCGGAAAUUGUGUCAUAUUAAACCUUUGGGUUUUAAGCGGCUUAAAAUUUUUUUUACGAUUCCACGAAUGUUUCUAAGAUUUACUUAUUAUACGUUUAAGGUAUUGAUUUUUAUUAGUAGUGGCUG